AGGUGGUGCAUGGUUGUCGUCAACUCGUGCCGUAAGGUGUUGGGUUAAGUCCCGCAACGAGCGCAACCCUCAUAUUUAGUUCACAAUGUCGAGUUUGGAACCCUGAGUAGACUGCAGGUGAUAAGCCUACAACACUGGAAUAUCCACUUAAUACCCUCAGUCCCC
rfam:Lupinus angustifolius cultivar Tanjil chromosome LG17, whole genome shotgun sequence.